rnacentral:rRNA from 1 species
UGCCUACGGGAGGCAGCAGUGGGGGAUAUUGCACAAUGGGGGGAACCCUGAUGCAGCGACGCCGCGUGGGUGAAGGAGUGCUUCGGCAUGUAAAGCCCUAUCGGCAGGGAAGAAGCAAGACGGUACCUGACUAAGAAGCCCCGGCUAACUACGUGCCAGCAGCCGCGGUAAUACGUAGGGGGCGAGCGUUAUCCGGAUUCACUGGGUGUAAAGGGAGCGUAGACGGCAUGGCAAGUCUGGAGUGAAAGCCCGGGGCCCAACCCCGG